UGCAAGUCGAGCGAACAGGAAUAAGGAGCUUGCUCCUUUGACGUUAGCGGCGGACGGGUGAGUAACACGUGGGCAACCUACCCUAUAGUUUGGGAUAACUCCGGGAAACCGGGGCUAAUACCGAAUAAUCUCUUUUACUUCAUGGUUAGAAACUGAAAGACGGUUUCGGCUGUCACUUUUGGAUGGGCCCGCGGCGCAUUAGCUAGUUGGUGAGGUAACGGCUCACCAAGGCAACGAUGCGUAGCCGACCUGAGAGGGUGAUCGGCCACACUGGGACUGAAACACGGCCCAGACUCCUACGGGAGGCAGCAGUAGGGAAUCUUCCACAAUGGGCGAAAGCCUGAUGGAACAACCCCCCGUGAGUGAAGAAGGUUUUCGGAUCGUAAAACUCUGUUGUAAGGGAAAAACAAGU
rnacentral:rRNA from 1 species